CACCUCUGUGAUCAUUUGAAAUCCCCUCUACAACAGCGUCUUUGCAUCAGCUAUCUAAAUGAAGCCAUACUUUGCAUCAGUCAGUGCACUCAUUCAAAAGCCAUGGGAAGAAAAGAAAAUGAACAGUGAUAACUUUUAGACAAGAGCGUAGUAGUAGCUGGAACUACAUAAUUAUCCCACCAUGACAAUAGUUGCUACAGUAAAGGCCUGAUUGGUGGAGUGCUGCAGAGAUGGUUGUCCUUCUGGAAGGUUUUCCCAUCUCCACAGAGGAACUCGGGUUCUUGGUCACCUCCCCGACCCUUCUCCCCUGAUUGCUCAGUUUGGCCAGGCGGCCAGCUCUAGAUCACACAAUCCUGUCUCUGAGUUCUACGGACAAUUCCUUCGACCUCAUGGCUUGGUUUUUGAUCUGACGUGCAAUGUCAACUGUGGGACCUUAUAUAGACAGGUGUGUACCUUUCCAAAUCAUGUCCAAUCAAUUGAAUUUACCACAGGUGGACUCCAAUCAAGAUGUAGAAACAAUUCAAGGAUGAUCAAUGGAAACAGGAUGCACCUGAGCUCAAUUUAGUCUCAUAGCAAAGGGUCUGAAUACUUAUGAAAAGAAGGUAUUUCUGUUUUCUUUUUUUUAAUACACUGCAAAAACUUCUAAAAACCUGUUUUCGCAUUGUCAUUAUGGGCUAUUGUGUGUAGAUUGAUGAGUGAAAAACAUAAUUGUAUCAAUUUUAGAAUAAUUUUACGAAUGCACUGUAUUCUGUUUCACAGCUUUAAUGCUUAACCUUCUGUUGGUUGGUUCUAACGGUUUGACCACUGAGU
rnacentral:lncRNA from 1 species